GCAGUCGAACGAACUCUGGUAUUGAUUGGUGCUUGCAUCAUGAUUUACAUUUGAGUGAGUGGCGAACUGGUGAGUAACACGUGGGAAACCUGCCCAGAAGCGGGGGAUAACACCUGGAAACAGAUGCUAAUACCGCAUAACAACUUGGACCGCAUGGUCCGAGUUUGAAAGAUGGCUUCGGCUAUCACUUUUGGAUGGUCCCGCGGCGUAUUAGCUAGAUGGUGAGGUAACGGCUCACCAUGGCAAUGAUACGUAGCCGACCUGAGAGGGUAAUCGGCCACAUUGGGACUGAGACACGGCCCAAACUCCUACGGGAGGCAGCAGUAGGGAAUCUUCCACAAUGGACGAAAGUCUGAUGGAGCAACGCCGCGUGAGUGAAGAAGGGUUUCGGCUCGUAAAACUCUGUUGUUAAAGAAGAACAUAUCUGAGAGUAACUGUUCAGGUAUUGACGGUAUUUAACCAGAAAGCCACGGCUAACUACGUGCCAGCAGCCGCGGUAAUACGUAGGUGGCAAGCGUUGUCCGGAUUUAUUGGGCGUAAAGCGAGCGCAGGCGGUUUUUUAAGUCUGAUGUGAAAGCCUUCGGCUCAACCGAAGAAGUGCAUCGGAAACUGGGAAACUUGAGUGCAGAAGAGGACAGUGGAACUCCAUGUGUAGCGGUGAAAUGCGUAGAUAUAUGGAAGAACACCAGUGGCGAAGGCGGCUGUCUGGUCUGUAACUGACGCUGAGGCUCGAAAGUAUGGGUAGCAAACAGGAUUAGAUACCCUGGUAGUCCAUACCGUAAACGAUGAAUGCUAAGUGUUGGAGGGUUUCCGCCCUUCAGUGCUGCAGCUAACGCAUUAAGCAUUCCGCCUGGGGAGUACGGCCGCAAGGCUGAAACUCAAAGGAAUUGACGGGGGCCCGCACAAGCGGUGGAGCAUGUGGUUUAAUUCGAAGCUACGCGAAGAACCUUACCAGGUCUUGACAUACUAUGCAAAUCUAAGAGAUUAGACGUUCCCUUCGGGGACAUGGAUACAGGUGGUGCAUGGUUGUCGUCAGCUCGUGUCGUGAGAUGUUGGGUUAAGUCCCGCAACGAGCGCAACCCUUAUUAUCAGUUGCCAGCAUUAAGUUGGGCACUCUGGUGAGACUGCCGGUGACAAACCGGAGGAAGGUGGGGAUGACGUCAAAUCAUCAUGCCCCUUAUGACCUGGGCUACACACGUGCUACAAUGGAUGGUACAACGAGUUGCGAACUCGCGAGAGUAAGCUAAUCUCUUAAAGCCAUUCUCAGUUCGGAUUGUAGGCUGCAACUCGCCUACAUGAAGUCGGAAUCGCUAGUAAUCGCGGAUCAGCAUGCCGCGGUGAAUACGUUCCCGGGCCUUGUACACACCGCCCGUCACACCAUGAGAGUUUGUAACACCCAAAGUCGGUGGGGUAACCUUUUAGGAACCAGCCG
rnacentral:rRNA from 2 species